AGUGAAGCGGGAAGAGCUCAAAUUUGAAAUCUGGUAGCCUUCGGUUGCCCGAGUUGUAAUCUAGAGAAGUGUUUUCCGUGCCGGCCCAUGUACAAGUCCCUUGGAACAGGGCGUCAUAGAGGGUGAGAAUCCCGUCCUUGACAUGGACCCCCGGUGCUUUGUGAUACACUUUCAACGAGUCGAGUUGUUUGGGAAUGCAGCUCAAAAUGGGUGGUGAAUUCCAUCUAAAGCUAAAUAUUGGCGAGAGACCGAUAGCGAACAAGUACCGUGAGGGAAAGAUGAAAAGCACUUUGGAAAGAGAGUUAAACAGUACGUGAAAUUGUUGAAAGGGAAACGAUUGAAGUCAGUCAUGCUCUUUGGUAUUUAUAUCAUUGAGUGGGGUCAACAUCAGUUUUGAUCGAUGGAUAAAGGCACUAGGAAGGUAGCACUCUCGGGUGAACUUAUAGCCUAGCGUCAUAUACAUUGAUUGGGACUGAGGAACGCAGCAUGCCUUUAUGGCCGGGAUUCGUCCACGUACAUGCUUAGGAUGUUGACAUAAUGGCUUUAAACGACCCGUCUUGAAACACG
rnacentral:rRNA from 1 species